rnacentral:lncRNA from 1 species
GUAGGUGAAGCUUUGAGGUGGAAGCUUUGUUGGGCACCAUGAAUUGAUUUUGCUUCACACUAUCUUGAUCAAGAUAGUGUGAACCUUUUGUAGGUGAAGCUUUUGUGUUGAAGUUUUGUAGGUCAAGCUUUUGUGGGUCAAACUUUUAUGGGUCAAGCUUUUAUAGGUCAAACUUUUGUGGGUCAAGCUUUUAUAGGUCAAGCUUUUGUGGGUUAAACUUUUAUAGAUCAAGCUUUUGUGGGUCAAGCUUUUGUGGGUCAAGCUUUUAUAGGUCAAGCUUUUGUGGGUCAAGCUUUUGUAGGUGAAGCUUUUAUGGGUGAAGCUUUUGUGUUGAAGCUUUUGUGGGUGAAGCUUUUAUGUUGAAGCUUUUGUAGGUGAAGCUUUGGAGUUGAAGCUUUGUAGGUGAAGCUUUGGAGUUGAAGCUUUUGUUGGGUACCAUGAAUUGAUUUUGCUUUACACUAUCUUGAUCAAGAUAGUGUGAAGCUUUUGAGAAUUUGUAGUUGUCCUCCAUUGAUGAAGUUUUUGUGUUGAAGCUUUUGUGUUGAAGCUUUUGUAGGUGAAGCUUUGGAGUUGAAGUUGAAGCUUUAUAGGUGAAGCUUUGGAGUUAAAGCUUUAUAGGUGAAGCUUUGGAGUUGAAGCUUUUGUUGGGUACCAUGAAUUGAUUUUGCUUUAAACUAUCUUGAUCAAGAUAGUGUGAACCUUUUGAGAAUUUGUAGUUGUCCUCCAUUGAUGAAGCUUUUGUGUUGAAGCUUUGUAGGUGAAGCUUUAAGGUUGAAGCUUUGUUGGGCACCAUGAAUUGAUUUUACUUUACACUAUCUUGAUCAAGAUAGUGUGAAGCUUUUGAGAGUUGUGGUUGAACUCCUUUGAUGAAGCUUUUGUUGGCACCAUAAAUUGGUUUUGCUUCACACUGUCUUGAUCAAGAGUGUGUGAUGUUUUUGAGAAUUGUGGUUGCCCUCCAUUGAUGAAGCUCUUGUUGGCUCCAUAAAUUGGUUUUGCUU